rnacentral:rRNA from 1 species
UGAGCAAUCUGCCCUUCUCUUCGGAAUAAGCGUGGGAAACCGCGUUUAAUGCCGAAUACGACCUCCUUUCGCAUGAUCGGAGGUGGAAAGCUCCGGCGGAGAAGGGUGAGCUCGCGGCCUAUCAGCUAGUUGGUGUGGGUAAUGGCCCACCAAGGCGACGACGGGUAGCCGGCCUGAGAGGGUGACCGGCCACACUGGGACUGAGACACGGCCCAGACUCCGUACGGGAGGCAGNAGU